UGUGUCUGGAUAAUAAAUGCUGACCAUUUUGGUCUAAACGUUCAAUCAGAUGUGAAGUCUCUGAGAAGUGAUGCCUCAAGGUGAAGGUGCAUAAACUGUGCUCCAAAAUGAUGAGGUCAUAAGUCUAUCACCUACCCAUAUAGCUAGUUAUGCAGGCAUGGAGAUGUCAUUGACAACAGCUUUGUCUUGUCACUUUGUUGCAGGGAUCUGUUUCUGAAAACAUGACAGAAGAGACUAAUGGUUCAAGUGCAACUCAUUGGCUGCAAGGUUCCCCAGUAUGGGGCAUGUGCAAAUAGCAUAGGAUGAUAGACAAGAUCAGCAGCACCAAUGGGUUGGAGACAGCUCUAGCCCGAAUGUCCAACUGUAUAUGUGCUACAGAGGAAGAGCUAGAGAAGUUAUGGAGAUCUUUAACAGAUGCCAGAAAAAGUAAGUGGAUCACAAUUAUUAAGAUAUUGAGUUAUUAAUAUGAUUGAAGUUUCAUUUUUGCUUUGUUCACAUUGUUGCUUGAUUAUUCUCUUGAAGUAAUAAAAUAGUUUAAAACUUUUAUUUUGAUUUUACAAGACCAUAUUUUCCAAAUGAGACUUUGGACUCUUACAGAAAAUGUGGAUUGUAAAAAGUUACUGGAUUCUUUAAGGUACUGCAUACGUAAACUGUUUGAAACGGCAAGGCUGUGGGACUCUGCAAGUGCCAGGACAGACAUGUUUGAUAUUCAAUAUUUGGUAAAGUACUUGCCUAACUAAACAGAUUUAAGCUUGAACUUCAUCACAAAUGCAGGUUGGAUUAUACACACAAGGAACAACACCACCCAGGAGAAAGAGGCAGAAAAAUAUGAAUCUCAAGACCAUCCUAUGGAUUUCUCUGGACAGUCUGAAUCCAUAUCAGAGGAAAGAGAUGGAAGCAAAAGGAUUAUUAAAGUUUAAAGACAGCCCAGGCAUGAGACAUUAUCUCACAACUUUCAAAUAUAAAAAAAGUAAUAAACAAAUGAAGAAAUUAAGUGAUGUGGAAGAAGGAGGAAGAGGAGAGGACUGUAAUAAGCAGAGGUAAAGAAAAGCUCAAGAAACAUGAGUAAAAUGUUCAUCGUAUGUAAACUAGAAUUCAAUGCUAUGGAAAGGAGGGGUUUUGGAAAAAUCGAGCAUGUACAAAUGAAACUUUUGUCCAGAAAAAUUACAAAAACAUUACCUACACAAUUCUUUAUAUUCCUAGAUAGUGAACCCUGUAUCUUUUGGGUUAAUUUAAGAAAUCUAUUAAUUCCACCACACUACUACAACUUUCCUAGCUGCCCAUGUUAAAUGCCCAUUUAACUAUGCCUGUAUAAUUCCUCUCUGUUACACAGAUUUUGUAAUCAGUACACAGAACUUUUUGUAAGUUGCCCAAAUAACAAUAUCAAUGCUAGAAAUUAUACUCAAAUCAGAGAUUAUGAAGGCAUAGUUUUCAUCUGUAGAACAUCAUAGCAUAGAUUAUUGCACACAUCUCAUACAUUCCUUUAUUCUUAGAUACUACUGAGAUGGUUAUUCUCUCUUUAAAUUUGAUGUGAUCGAGAGUCACCCGAGAGGCAAACUCUCUGUCAUCCUUGUGCACAUUUAAUUUAAUUAGCUAAUGCAGGUAGGAAAAACUGUCCCCCUGGGUAGUACCUGGUUCAAGAGACUUAGCACUGGCCUCUUCAGUAAAAAUUUGGCUCUCUAUGUCCCAGAAAGGACUAUGAAACUCAAAUUAAGGAAUUGAUAAUUGUACAUAUUCACAAUUAUUCAUUACUUGUAUGAUUAAUAAUACAAUAUAUUUUAAAACACACGGAUUUCUUUAGGUAUUUCCAGUGACCUAAUCUUACUUUGCUGCACAGUAUAUGGAUAGAUCUAAAGAAUUAAAUAUUUGUUUUCUUGUUUGGGUAACCCUGUAUAAUUCUUACCUUUUGUGGCUAAUGUAUAAAAUAUGGAAGAUGAGAGAACUACAAUAUGAUACCAUAACCUUAAAGUCCUAGGUGGCAGAUAUACAUGGAAAUCUGUAUGAUUAAGCCAACCCAUUC
rnacentral:lncRNA from 1 species